rnacentral:rRNA from 1 species
UGGGGAAUAUUGGACAAUGGGGGAAACCCUGAUCCAGCAAUGCCGCGUGAGUGAUGAAGGCCUUCGGGUUGUAAAGCUCUUUUGUCAGGGACGAUGAUGACGGUACCUGACGAAUAAGCUCCGGCUAACUUCGUGCCAGCAGCCGCGGUAAUACGAGGGGAGCUAGCGUUGUUCGGAAUUACUGGGCGUAAAGGGCGUGUAGGCGGUACCAUAAGUCAGAUGUGAAAGCCCUAGGCUUAACCUAGGAAUUGCAUUUGAUACUGUGGAACUAGAGAUCGAGAGAGGAAAGUGGAAUUACGAGUGUAGAGGUGAAAUUCGUAGAUAUUCGUAAGAACACCAGUGGCGAAGGCGACUUUCUGGCUCGAUACUGACGCUAAGGCGCGAAAGCGUGGGGAGCAAACAGGAUUAGAUACCCUGGUAGUCCACGCUGUAAACGAUGAGUGCUAGAUGUUGGUGAAGGAAUUCAUCAGUGUCGCAGCUAACGCAUUAAGCACUCCGCCUGGGGAGUACGGUCGCAAGAUUA